AAGCCAAAUCCUUAGCCUUAGCCAAAUAAGGAGUUGUUGAUCACAGAGAGCACUCACCGUUGGAAGGGUGAAAGGCGGAAGCCAGCGCCAUCUUUGAGGUGUGGCUACACACAGCUCUCUACACUUAGGCCUUAAAAUUUCAUCUUGGAGUGCUUUUUUUCUUCAACCAACAAUGGAAGAAGACAGAAAGAACGUGGAGGAAUAGAGAAGAAAGAAAGAAAUCAUCAAGAGAGAAUGAUCCUGAGAUACAGAGAUUAAAGUGGAAGUUGCUGUGCAUGAAAGGAAUUUACUACGUAUGAUCUCAGGCAGAACCUCUUAGCACCUGGAAAGACUGUGAGAAAUGGUGACCAAAUUACAAGUGUCUGGUAGUGACCCAGACUUCGGGCAUCUGCAGGGCCCUCAGUGGUAAUAGAGGCUUUGGAAUUCAACACAGACACCCACAGCUGUAUCAAGGCCAUGGACCAAAUCAUGGCCCUUGGCAGCAGCCCAGGCCGGGACAUUACUAUGGCCCUGGAUGCAAAUGGAGAUCAUUAUAGAAACUACAACUGGACACAAUGCAGGUAUCAAUGGAUCAUGGAGAGCUCAGCCCCAACUGAUACAUCUACAACACUGCUCCAAGGAACAUUAAAGAAGAGGGAGCAGAAAGAUUGUUUAAGAGUCAAAGGACCAGGAAGUCUUCUAUGAGAGUGCCUCCUAGAAAUGGCUGGAGGAUAGAGGACACCAGGAGAA